AAAAAACUAGUUAAAAUAUAACAUAAGAUUGUCAUUCUUAAAUUACAUAGGUGUUUUUUA
rnacentral:tRNA from 1 species